rnacentral:rRNA from 1 species
GAUGAACGCUGGCGGCGUGCCUAAUACAUGCAAGUCGAGCGAACGGACGAGAAGCUUGCUUUUCUGAUGUUAGCGGCGGACGGGUGAGUAACACGUGGAUAACCUACCUAUAAGACUGUGAUAACUUCGGGAAACCGGAGCUAAUAUCGGAUAAUAUUUUGAACCGCAUGGUUCAAAAGUGAAAGACGGUCUUGCUGUCACUUAUAGAUGGAUCCGCGCUGCAUUAGCUAGUUGGUAAGGUAACGGCUUAUCAAGGCAACGAUGCAUAGCCGACCUGAGAGGGUGAUCAGCCACACUGGAACUGAGACACGGUCCAGACUCCUACGGGAGGCAGCAGUAGGGAAUCUUCCGCAAUGGGCGAAAGCCUGACGGAGCAACGCCGCGUGAGUGAUGAAGGUCUUCGGAUCGUAAAACUCUGUUAUUAGGGAAGAACAUAUGUGUAAGUAACUGUGCACAUCUUGACGGUACCUAAUCAGAAAGCCACGGCUAACUACGUG